ACGCUCGACACCUACGAGAGGCAGCAGUUGGGAAUAUUGGACAAUGGAGGGAAACCUCUGAUCCAGUGACGCCGCGUGAAGGAAGAAGGUCUUCGGAUUGUAAACUUAUUUUGUCAGGGAAGAAAAAUGAACUGUACCUGAAGAAAAGCACCGGCUAACUACGUGUCAGCAGCCGCGGUAAUCUGAGCGGGCUGGCAAGGC
rnacentral:rRNA from 1 species